rnacentral:rRNA from 1 species
CGGCAGGCCUAACACAUGCAAGUCGAGCGGCAGCGCGGGGGCAACCCUGGCGGCGAGCGGCGGACGGGUGAGGAAUGCAUCGGAAUCUACCUCGUUGUGGGGGAUAACCUCGGGAAACCGGGACUAAUACCGCAUACGACCUACGGGUGAAAGUGGGGGACCUUCGGGCCUCACGCGAUGAGAUGAGCCGAUGCCGGAUUAGCUAGUUGGCGGGGUAAAGGCCCACCAAGGCGACGAUCCGUAGCUGGUCUGAGAGGAUGAUCAGCCACACUGGAACUGAGACACGGUCCAGACUCCUACGGGAGGCAGCAGUGGGGAAUAUUGGACAAUGGGCGCAAGCCUGAUCCAGCCAUGCCGCGUGUGUGAAGAAGGCCUUCGGGUUGUAAAGCACUUUUGUUGGGGAAGAAACCGGCCGGAUUAAUACUUCGGCUGAAUGACGGUACCCAAAGAAUAAGCACCGGCUAACUUCGUGCCAGCAGCCGCGGUAAUACGAAGGGUGCAAGCGUUACUCGGAAUUACUGGGCGUAAAGCGUGCGUAGGCGGUUUGUUAAGUCUGUCGU